AUGCUAAGGAGAAGAAGAUUCGGGUGGACGCCGAUGCGAAGGCAGAGGCGGACAACGGCCAACUUGCCGAGGAGCAUGGCCAGGAGCAGAAGUUGCGGGAGGAAGCUUUUGAGGCGGAGCACGAGAAGUUCCCACCAACAAAUUGUUGAGCUCAAGGCAGCGGCCGAACACCUCACGGGACUCUCCUCUCUUGAGCGAGCCCAUUGUGCCAUAUGCUCCAUCUACAGGGAGGGGCUCGAGACUCCUCUCAUGCCCCGUGAUGCUGAUUACGCCGAGUACUCCUCCAAGCUCGUGGAGCGGCUCGAGGACGGGGCCCAGAAGGUCGACAGCAUCUUGGAGGAGGAGUGUUGCGACCUCUUUUCUCUGGCGGCGACCUACGUCUUCAGCCACCUUCUCCAUGGCGACCCCAACUUUGACUUCGACGAGGUGAUAUGUCUCAUUCCUGAAGAACUCCGCGACGGCCUCGCGGGCGCCAUGGAGGGCCACGUGGACAUGCUGCUCGGGAAGUUCUCCUGCAGCGGCAGUGAGGGCUCCAACGGGGCUGAGGCGGACGACGGCGAUGGAGACGAUGGCACUUCUUCUUAG
rnacentral:rRNA from 1 species